GUGAGCUAUCCGUGGGCAGGCUGAAGCGGGGGUAAGACCCCGUGGAGGGCCGAACGCACGUCGGUUGAAAACGGCGGCGAUGACCUGCGGAUAGGGGUGAAAGGCCAAUCAAACCCGGAGAUAUCUCGUUCUCCCCGAAAUAGCUUUAGGGCUAGCGUCGCGCGUUCACCGCCGGAGGUAGAGCACCGGAUGGACGAGGGGGCUUCGCCGCCUACCGAAUCCAACCGAACUCCGAAUGCCGGCGGCCCAGAGCGCGGCAGUCAGAGCAUGUGGGCUAAGCUGUGUGCUCGAGAGGGAAACAGCCCGGACCGCCCGCUAAGGUCCCCAAGUUCCAGCCGAGUGGCAAAGGAUGUGCGUCCGCCCAGACAACCAGGAUGUUGGCUUAGAAGCAGCCAUCCAUUCAAAGAGUGCGUAACAGCUCACUGGUCGAGUGGACAUGCGCCGACAAUACACGGGGCUAAGCUGGACACCGAAGCGGCGGGAUUUUAAUUCAUUAGAAUCGGUAGGGGAGCUUCCCAUGGGCGGAGAAGCCGGAGGGCGACCGACGGUGGAGCGCAUGGGAGUGAGAAUGCUGGCAUGAGUAGCGAGAGACGAGAGAGUAACUCGUCCGCCGUGAACCCGAGGUUUCCUGGGCAAGGCUAAUCCUCCCAGGGUCAGUCGGGGGCUAAGGCGAGGCCGGGAGGCGUAGCCGACGCGCAGCAGGCAGACAUUCCUGCACCGCGCACGCGGCGCUACGACCGACGGGGCGACGGAUGGGGGUGGCUCGGCGGGGUUCUGGACGUCCCCGUGAUGGAGCGCGGCCCGCGGACCAGGGAAAUCCGGUCCGCACGAGGGCGAGGCUCCGGACGAAGCAUCUGAGCGAAGCGAGUGAGCCCGAGGUCCCUAGAAAAACCCCUAGGCAGGCGCGUGCGCGCCCGUACCGCAAACCGACACAGGUGGGUGGGUAGAACAUACCGAGGCGAUCGGGUCAACCAUGGUCAAGGAACUCGGCACAAUGGCCCCGUAACUUCGGGAGAAGGGGUGCCCGCGCGUACGUGAACCGGCUUGCCCGGGGAGCGGAGGCGGGCCGCAGUGGAGAGGCCCAAGCGACUGUUUACCAAAAACACAGGACUCUGCAGAAGCCGCAAGGCGACGUAUAGGGUCUGACGCCUGCCCGGUGCCGGAAGGUCACGCGGAGGAGUUAGCCGAUUCGGCGAAGCCCCGAAGCCAAGCCCCGGUAAACGGCGGCCGUAACUAUAACGGGCCUAAGGUAGCGAAAUUCCUUGUCGGGUAAGUUCCGACGUGCACGAAUGGUGUAAUGAUCCGGACACUGUCUCAAUCAUGAUCUCAGUGAAAUUGUAGUAUCGGUGAAGAUGCCGAUUACCCGCGAUGGGACGAAAAGACCCCGUGAACCUUUACUAUAG
rnacentral:rRNA from 1 species